AGAAAAAUAAUGAUUGUCUUGUUGGAGGUGGCACUGGACAUGCAGACGAUGGCCAGAACCAGGGACCCCGGCGCCAAGAAGCAGGCAUCAACCAGCCCGGCCCCUGCCCUUCUAGAAGAAACUGGACUCCAACUUGGGCAAGGUCUCAGGUGGAUGUGAACCUCUCGGGUCAAAGUUCACUUUGAACACUCUGCAGCACAGGACUCAGCCAGCGCUGACCCAGGCCAGCCGGAGACCAGAGGCCCCCAGGCAGUCACUCCUCCCCGAUCUUCCAAGCUCCAUCCCCCCACCCCCCCCGAGGCAUCCCAGACUCUCUGCGCCCGCCAGACACCCCCCUCCAUUUCCUCCCAGAAGGACAGGGUGCGUGAGGGAGGUGGAUGGCAGGCAAAGCUCCGAGGAGGGCGGGUCAGGGUGGGAUCGUCCGCCCUUGCACAGGACGCGGAUGAGAAGACGCCCCAUCAGUGACGGCAGAGAGUGGACGACCCCCUGUCCCAACCUUGUGCCUGCACAGCUCGGCCAUCUGCGUGCAUGCACCCCAGGUCACACCAACGCUUCACCCCCGGCAUCCUGCACCUGCCCCCCAGCCCCCCAACCCACCCAGGGCUCCCCCAUCGGGCGGAGCACCAAGCCCCCAGCCUGUCCCGCCAGCAGCCCCUGGCCAGGCUCUUAUGGUCUCGGGUUCUAGUCCAGGGUCCAGAGGCCCCCGCUGACCACAGUGGGGCAGAGUGCAGGAGUCUGUGACCUUGAACCGGGAGAGAUGGAAUAUCUGUUCCCAGCAUCCUCUAACCGAGAGCUGGCAUUCCCUCCGCUCCUCAGACUGCAGGCCAAGCAGAAGCGACAGCAGGAAGCGACCCCUGCGCUUCACCGCCGACAAUCACAGCCACUUUCGAGCCUCACUACAGUUCUGUAGGUUUACCGUCAGCCCAAUGUCUCAACGGCUAUUAACCUGCUUUCUGGCCAAACUCGGUACUUUACUGCACGUGUUUAAAUACAGUAUUCAGAGGAAAGGUUGUGGGUAGGCGCCACUCGGACAACAAGGGAAACCUUGGCACAAAGGAAACGAAAAGCGCUUGGUUCAGGGUCUCUGGAGCAUGGGUUGCAGGCAUGACACGUCCACACACGUGUGUCUGCGAAAUGCAGCAGCCUCUGCCAACAGAUCAGCCUCCAGCCACGUGGCCAAGAAACACAAACGAGCGCCACCCUAGUCAUUCUGAGAUGGUCCCACCCCGUCACAGAUGGCAGCCAGCCUCCUUGGGGGACAGUCUCCUGCCCGAGUGGCCAGCCCUAGAGAGUGGCUAGCCCUGGAGAGAACAGCCCGCAGAGAAGGGCACCAUGUUCGGGAGAAGGGUCUCAGGGGCUUUGCCCAACCAGUCAUCUCCCUUGCUCAGAGACGGACCCCGAGCCAGGGACCCGCUUCUCCAACAAAACCCCAAGCGUUCCCCAAGCGAUCUGCUGGGGAGGCGAGCUGGAGAGGGGGAAACCCGGGCAGGUCUGGCAGGAGGUGGAAGCACGCGUCCCGUGAGCCCCCGAGAUGCUGAAAACAGAGCGAGUCCACAGCCGCCAGACUUCUGCCACCAGGAAGGGCAGCCUGCCACCCCGGGUGCUCCCCACGUCCCCUCCUCCUGCACAGACAGCGGGUCGGCCCUCUGCCUAACAACUUAAUUGCAAAUUUCAGGUCAAACUGCCCUCUGUGCCUCCAGGCAGACAGGAAACAGCACCCCCGCUGCCUUCAUGAAGCCCCUGGGAGACGACGACCGAGGCAUCUCCCCAAACCGGCAGCAGGAGGCUCUAGUCAAAAAGAAAAGAAAAGAAGAAUCGCUGCCCCACCGUUACCACUGGGCCGGGACCUUUCCUCUCGCACACGCUAACCUCAGAUGGUGAGGGGCAAAGAAUGCGUCAGCCCCCACCCGCUAGAUUUCACACGAGGGCGGCGGGCGGGCACGCCAACUUCCCCGUCUGUUACGUGGUCUUCUCUGAGGACAACAAGGCGACUGUUAAUGCCCAAGGCCUAAAAUAGCUUUCCUUUCCAGAUAAAACUGUCUGGUUUGCCCUUUAAAAAAAAAACAAAAAAGUAAACAGUAAUAAUACCAAAAGAGAAAGCAAAAUACUUAGCUGAGUAGGACCUAAAGCAUCCCAGAUGCCAGCCUGGAAAGAGGCGGACAAGGUGGCUGAUCAAACCCUGGAUCUCCCGUCUACCCGUCAACCAACACAAACGAGCUGAAUGCCGUGACCCAGCUAAAGGGUUUACAAGUGUGCAGUUUUCAGGAGCCUGGCGUUCCUGGCAUCACGGAGGCAGUGAGGACCACGUGGGGAGGUGGCGAGACACGCCUGUCUGCAGUCAGCUCUGGGCGUAUCUGAACCCGAGGCUCUGCAGCAAGUUUCCCAGGAGUUGCCAGGUCCCUGAGCCCCAGCUCCAGAGUGGAAGCUCUAGGCAAUCUGGAACCUUCCUCUUCUUCAUGGUCCAUUUCUGGGGAGGUUAGGACACCGGGCUCACCCUGCACCAGCCCUGAGGGCCCAGUGAGAAAAGUCACCAGCUAGCUGCUUCACCAACGCAGCCAAGGCUCAGGCUGCCAGGCUUGGCAAACCCACGUGGCCCUGUGGGCAGUCUCCCUUGGAGCUGGAGACAGGGGUGGGAAGAAGUCUCCUGCAUCCUCCUACAUCCUCUGUAUUCAUACGAGGUGUGCUCUUGGAGGAUGACCUUCUCCCCCAUUCCCGGGGCGCUUGGUCAUGUGACUCCCGCCCACUGUGCCACUAGAGCUGAAAACCAGCCCCAGGCAGGAGGGCCGAGGUCAGCGGCCACAGCCGGCCGCGGGGCGGUGAGGACCACAUCCAGGUUCCGAGGUCAGCGGCCACAGCCGGCCGCGGGGCGGUGAGGAGCCACAUCCAGGUUCCAUCUCUUUGAUGCUGCAGGUGACGUCACCUCCUGCCAGGCGCCGACCAGCACUUCAGCCCGAGGGGUCAGCUGAAGAGCGAGGUCUAUCAGGAAGUCUAAGGGCAGACACUGAAAGAAAGAGGAACUCUGAAAACACACACAGAAACACUGAUGUGGCAACAUGAAGAUAAAAAACAGAUCCACAGAACCGGAGCUGGGAGCACACAGACACCCCAGGGCCGUCUCUGAGACAACCCAGCACAGCCCGGAGAGGCUCAGACCAGAGUGAGCCGUGAUGCGCUUCCUGUCCAAGACGAGUGUAAAAUGUGAAAUAAAACCCUUCUCCAAAGUU